AGAAUCCUGCUGCGUCCAUAGCAUCGCACUGUUUUUCAUGGCAACGGAGUCUUGAAAAGAAUUGCCCUUACAAACCAGAUUACUGGAUGAGAUGCUGAAAAGGCAGUGUCAAAGUGGCUAAUUGGUGCCAGGGACAGGGGAGGAAACCGUACAGUGAGGGCACGUGGUGGAGAGCAAGAUGGGGCCGUUGGGAGCGCGACAACAGAGGACUGAAAAACUGCACUUUUUUUUUUGUUUUGUUUGUGAAAUAGAAAGUUUGUCAAAAGCUUUCACUUUUGAUACUUGUCUGUUAAUACACAUAUAUUAAUAAAUAUUCUUUUAAUAAAGUAAAGCAUGAAGUAAUGUUUUCUGUUCAUUGCUUACAUAUAAUGUUUGUAUUUAGGGGUUUACUGUAAAAUAAGGUAACCCAAAAAGACAAAUAUAGUAGCCCAUAUAUACACCCGUUGUGGCCCAUAAGAGCCCUAGAUAAGACCUAUCUGGGUCCCAUCAUCAACCCAUGUGGGCAGACUCCUGUAGUCCCUUAAUGGGGACUACAUAGGCUACCCAUAUGGGCCCGAUAUGGAGCCCAUCAAGAGCCCAUCUU